AUUGAACGCUGGCGGCAGGCCUAACACAUGCAAGUCGAGCGGAUGAAGGUUGCUUUCUCCUUGAUUCAGCGGCGGACGGGUGUGUAAUUCCUAUGAAUCUGCCUGGUAUUGGUGGAUAACGUCCUGAAACGGGCGCUUAUACCGCAUACGUCCUGAUGGUGAAAGUUGGUGUUCUUCGGACCUCUCGCUUUCUGAUGUGCCUAGGUCGGAUUAGCUAGUUGGUUUGGUAAAGGCCUACUAAGGCGACGAUCCGUAACUGGUCUGAGAGGAUGAUCAGUCACACGGGAACGGAGACACGGACAAGAGGACUACGGGAGGAAGCAGUGGGGAAUAGUGGAAAAUGGGCGAAAGAAUGAUAAAGCAAAGCCGAGUGUGAGAAGAAGGUCUUAGGAGUGUAAAGAAAGUUAAGAAGGGAGGAAGGGAAGUAAGUUAAAAAAGAGAUGAAGUGACGUUAACAAAAGAAAAAGCACCGGCUAACUACGUG
rnacentral:rRNA from 1 species